rnacentral:lncRNA from 1 species
UAAGGCUGUAACGUAACAAAAUGUGGAAAAAGUCAAGGGGUCUGAAUACUUUCUGAAGGCACCGUAUAUGAUAGAAAAUACUAGCACAAUCUGUUUUAAUCACACACAAAUUUCCGCAAUUAGUGACAUCAGACCUCUAUGUCGCAGCCCUUUGUCAAACUGUCAAUAAAAACGAUUUAAUGCAAACAAAUGCCCAGACAAUGAAGAGACACACAGUAUUAGAAGGACUAUAUAUAUAUUCAUUUGAAAAGUUAGAGAGUAGGCCUAUAGUUCUGCAGGCUUAGUGAAAAGCCUUGAAGGGGAAUGUCCUCUGUAUGGAUAUUGUACGGACAAAGAUGAGAUGAACGUUGGUAUGGCUACUGUGCAAGUCACUAUUAAGAUCCACCGCAUCAAAGGGCUCACGUCUCCAGCUGAGUGUUCCUGCUUCUGGUGCCACCACUUCAGUCUACAUGUGCCCUGACCCGUUCCUUCUGUACAUUGGCACCUUCGAGGGCGCCACGUGCACUCGCCUUGGCGCUCUGUAAGGUCGUGGCCACCGCCUCUUCUGCAGUUUUACCAUCUUACCACCCCAGCUGCAGCACUCCUACUUCCCGCAGCAAUGUAGGUACAGUGCCUUCAGAAAGUAUUCAUAUCCCUUGAGUUAUUCCACAUUUGGUUUUGUUACAACCUGAAUUCAAAAUGUAUUAAAUCGAUUAUUUUUCUCACCCAUCUACAGACAGUACCCCACAAUGACAUAGUGUUUUUUAAUUUAUUUUAUUUUUAGCAAAUGUAUUGAAAAUUAAAUACACAAAUAUCUAAUUUACAUAAGUAUUCACUCCCCUGAGUUAAUAGAUGUUAGAAUCACCUUUGGCAGUGAUUACAACUCUGAGUCUUUCUGGGUAAGUCUCUAAGAGCUUUCCACACCUGGAUUGUAUAAUAUUUGCACAGUAUUCUUUCUUAAAUUCUUCAAGCUCUGUCAAGUUGAUUGUUGAUCAUUACUAGACACCCAUUUUCAAGUCUUGCCAUAGUUUUUUCAAGUCGAUUUAAUUUAAAAAAAACUCUCAAGACACUCAAGAAGAUAAACAUUUAAAGACAUGCCCCAAACAUAACACUCUGUAUUCAGGACAAAAAGUGAAUUGUAUUGCCACAUUUUUUGCAGUAUUACCUUAGUGCCUUUUUGCAAACAGGAUGCAUGUCUUGGAAUAUUUUUUAUUCUGCACAGACUUCCUUCUUUUCACUGUGUCAACUAAAUGAAAUGAAACGGAAUUGUAUUUGUCACAUACGCUGGAAUACAACAGGUGUAACCUUUACCGUGAAAUGCUUACUUACAAGCCCUUAUCCAACAACCCCAGAGUGUUAAGCGUUUUAAAAAGUAAGUAAGAAACAUUUGCUAAAUAAACUAAAUGGGGUGCCAGAGCAGCGAACAGUCAAAACUGUUCGCUGCUCUGGCACCCCUAUGGUGGAACAAGCUCCCUCACGACGCCCCCCCCC